rnacentral:rRNA from 1 species
CAGCCGCCGCGGUAAUACGUAGGGUGCGAGCGUUAAUCGGAAUUACUUGGCGUAAAGCGUGCGCAGGCGGUUCGUUAAGACAGAUGUGAAAUCCCCGGGCUUAACCUGGGAACUGCAUUUGUGACUGGCGAGCUAGAGAAUGGCAGAGGGGGGUAGAAUUCCACGUGUAGCAGUGAGAUGCGUAGAGAUGUGGAGGAAUACCGAUGGCGAAGGCGGCCAUCUGGGACAACACUGACGCUGAGGCACGAAAGCGUGGGGAGCAAACAGGAUUAGAGACCCGCGUAGUCCCUGUCUCUUAUAC